rnacentral:rRNA from 1 species
UACGUAGGUGGCAAGCGUUGUCCGGAUUUACUGGGCGUAAAGAGCGCGCAGGCGGUCGUUCAAGUCGCGUGUGAAAGCCCCCGGCUCAACUGGGGAGGGUCACGCGAUACUGAUCGACUGGAAGGCAGGAGAGGGUAGUGGAAUUCCCGGUGUAGUGGUGAAAUGCGCAGAUAUCAGGAGGAACACCGGUGGCGAAGGCGGGUCUCUGGGCCGAUACUGACGCUGAGGAGCGAAAGCGUGGGGAGCGAACAGG